ensembl:lncRNA
CAGUGAAAUUCUGUAUAUUUUUAACAACUUUGCAGCUGCUGCAAUCUCUUGGUUGUUGUUUAAAUUUGCUGAUAAAGCUAUUUGAGGAGGAGGGACAGUGGUAGACUCCUGAGGAGUCUGAAGAGAAAGGCACAGGCCUCUCCCUCCUUUCACCCAUGCACUCAAUGACUUGGAUUUCUUUGUAACUUAAGCCGGUGGGACACAACCAUGUGUCUUGGUCUUGGGGCUCACACUGGUUGCUUUUUUUUUUUUUUUUUUUUUAAACCCUCUCUGCCCAAGAAAAUUCUGAAUUGGUUUACUAAACUGUCCUGACUCUUGUGCUGAAGUCUGAGUUUGUAAGCCCACAUCUUUGAAAAGGGUUGUCAGACUGGAUGAUCAAGAUGGGCCCUUCGAGUCCUGAAGCCUAUGGAGCUCUGAUCUAAAAUGACAUGAUCACACACCACUUUCCCCUCAGCGAUGCUGACUUCAGUGCACCAGGAGUCACCAAACAAGGAUUUUGGAAGAUGCAUAUGAUUUACCAGUCUACUAUGCUAACAUCAUUUUGACAGGUGUGAUGCAUCAACACAGUAUUAUAAGCUUAAGAUAAAUUACAGCAUUCUUUUUCAUCAAGCAGCAAACUGCAGUGGAGUAUUGCACAAAGCUCAGUGUGUUCAGUCAGUAGGCAUUUGUGCCUGCAGCCUAAAAUAGAAUGUCUUUCUGUGAUGGGUUAAUCCCUCUUUGGCUCUGAUCCUGGGUAGAUUACUAGUUAUAGCAUGCCAUGAAAGACUGCUGUGUAAGGCAAGUAUUUCACUUAAGUCACUUACCACAUUUUCUGGACAACAGAAAUUUCUUGUGCAUCUGCUAGAAAUGUGGGGAUAAUUUAAUUGCCUUUGCUAAGAUUUCCAAUGUAAUUUAAUAAUCAUUUUUAUUAGAAUGUGCAUAUUGUUAGAAGUUAUCAGAACACUGUUACUCCUGGUGCAUUCUGAACAGCAGGUAGAAAAAUCAGACUUUGAUUUUGACUAGGGGUCCUAAUCAUUUCUUUUCAUAAUUUAGAGCACAAAAUGUGUUUGGUCAUUCUCUAUCACUUAUUAUCAUUAUUAUUAUUAUUAUUUUUAAUUCUGGUUGUCUGAACUGUAUGACAAGACCGCAUUCUACUUUACAUUUACCCAAAGGUCAAUAAAUAUCAGAACUUGGCAAAGAAACAAUGAAUAUUCUUCAAACAUUUCCCUGCAAGAAAAAUAGGCUCAUUUCAGCUGAGUGGAUGUCUCUAUUUGAAGGAUAUUUUUCACUGACAUUCAAUUAAUUGAAUUUUCCUGAAGUGGAUGUAUGUAGAAGCUAAGUGAUAAAUUUUAGGAAGUGUACACUUUUAUUUCCCUUAGUUUUAGUGCCAAGUAGGGCUGCAUUUAUAGUGCUUCAUUUUUAAGAUGGUCUAUACAGUGAUUUUUAUCAAAUGGUCCUAUUUGAAAUGUUCUAGCUUGGUAUCCAAAUCAUUAUCUUCAUUUGCAAGUCAGCAAAAUUCUGUGGAUUACAAACACUUAAGCUUUCAGAGCUUGACAUGUGGUCAGAGAAUGGAAAUGGCACUGUGCAAUGGCCAUAACUAGCCAAAUCUCCCAGAUAUUUUGUGGGAGCUUUAUGUAUGAAGAAAUGUUGAGAUGUUAGAAAAAUAGGACAUUAACCAAAAGUAAUGAAAAUGUCAGCAAAAAGUACUGAGUUAAAAUUUAUAAAGAUAAUUCUUGAGGAAAUUAAUUUGUAAACAUUUGUGAAGGGAAAGGAGAAAAGCUUGUGAGAGAAACAAAUACUUGAAAUAAAUAUGGGUAACUAUAAGGAGCAGGAAUUGUUUUUAUUUUUUUUAUUCUAAUAUCAUUGCUAUAUUUUGUCUUUUUUUCCAUUCUAUUUCUAUUUAGAUUUUAGCUCAAAAUGGAGAUGGACUGAUCUAAAAUAUUCGUCAAAAAUGCUUAAACACAUUGAGAACCCAAAUAUACUUUUAAAUAUGGUCAAUGUGUGUCUUUUGUACAUAGAUCUGUGUUCAUAGUACUAGAAAACUGUUGAGGCCAAAUAGUAGAGAGCUUGGACCCUGACGGUAUGCAGUCUUGUUUACACAGAUUAGACUGAAUAGAAAGUCUAUGGCUGGCUGUGAAGACUGCAAGAUUUUCAGGCUGAACAGGCUCAUAUGGAAGCAGCUGAGGCUUUGUAUGAAAAAGUUAGCUUUGUAAAUGAGGAAAGUGAAUAACUGAAUAAAUGCUCAAAUCUUACUCCCUUUUGGUAUAAGAAAGUGGGAGAUACUCUGCAUGGGUGAUUAACUGUAGUGCAGUGAUCACUUUUCAGUCCAGCCUCGACUCCAUUUUAGACAUCAAAAAAAGGUUUAUAAAGCAAAGUAGUCUUCAAAAUUUUCUGUUAACAAUCAUUCUGAGGAAGAGAUUAAAAAAUGUCAAUGAAAUCAGAAAGUCAAGAGGUUUAUUUGGCAUAAUGGGUGAACAGGGAAGUUCUGUUUUUCAAGGAAGAUCAGGGAGUUCAAUGGUAGGUACAAGGCCACAGUACUAAAUGCUGACAUGGACUUUCCAAGGUUGCCCAGAGUAGUGCUAAAGUCAAUAAUUCCAUAUUGCACCUGUCAGAAGCUACAACAUAAUUGCUUUGAAGUGAGGCAUAUUAACAUCCAUGUGCUCAGCAAACUAAGCAAUUAUAAACAGGUCUCUGCUCUCCCUGUUGGCUGUUAUAAUUAUUUGUUCAAUUUGUUGCUUUGCCUCAAUUCUAGUUAAUGUGACUUAUGAGCACUUAGCACAUGCUGGAAAGACAAGGGAGAGAUGUGGCUGCUGGUAGUCUGGCAGUAGUCCACAAACUGUGACCUUAUAGUGACAGGCAAAGAUGGGGCUGAUAGUCAGGAAGGAGUACAGGAUUGUAGGGCAGGAUGCUGCCAGUUGGCAUGGAAACACUAACUCUCAAAGCAUUAAGAUUUUAAAGAAACCAAACUUUUCUUUUCUUUUCUUUUUCCUAGAACAAGAUAGCAAAUGAUUUUGUAACAGUUGCAGAGACUGCUGAUUUUGCCUUUACAAGAUCAUACACACAGUACUACAGGAAUUUGAAAAAAACAUAUAUCUCUCAAUAUAUUACAUGGGAAAUGAGGAAAAUUGUGUUCUUAUGAAAUUUGUUAUCACUGAGUUCGCCCAAUAUGCAGGUGAUUACUUGAAUUUUCCAAGCAGCAGAUGUUCGGAAAUGGGGAGACAGAAGCUGGCCAAGAAAGCUGCCUCAGCAGCAGUGUGGGUUAUAAAUUCAGCAUGGACAAUCUGUUCUUCAAAGUAGAGCUAAAGUGAUUUAAAAGGUUCGUCAAGGUCACGUAGGAAUACUGUACAGGAGUGCUCCAAAGCACCAGCUGUCAGGACUGUCAAGUCUUGCUAAUGAACAGUGGAAUUUGUAGAAAAUAAUACUAAUGCUAAUUGAAACCUGAACAGCUUAGAAGUCUAGCAGGUUAUUGCUAUUGAUUCAUAUCCUAUGAUAAUGUCUCCUACAGAGCAUGCAGAAGUGCCUGUCUACCUGUAGUAUUAGCUAAUCCAUUGUUGAUGCCAUUCAUACAAGUAUCUGGAAGGUCUGAAGCCCUCUUCAGAGAGAGGGGCGUUCUAUUACUAUAGAAAUGAUGGAUCACUUUCUGAUUUUGUAAUAAAUUCUGAGCAGUAUCUUCACCUCAGAAAAGGAGAGGAAAGUGCCAAGAUAGCUUACAGUUCAUUAGGAUUUUUUCCAAGGGCUGGAGUGGGUCUGAAUAAUCUCAGUUAUAAUUUAAUUAAUCUAAUUAUCUUAGUUUCUGUUUUGGGGAAAGAGGUGGAGGCCUUUUUUAUAAAAAGGAUUAAUAAGGAACCAUUAAUAAGGAACCUAGCAGCAGUUGUGUCUUAGGUAUAUGUGCCAAGUCUGACCCUAGAGUUGAAAGAGAGAUAUGUAAAUUCUGGACCUUAAAAUGCUAAAUUGCCCCUAAAUUGCCAAUUAUGAUCACGUGUGUCUGCAUAGGAGAACAAAUCAGAACUCACCCUAGCUCUGGUCUCAUGGUCCAACUGCAGGCACACAGCACUGAGUUUAAUCAAACAAGCCUCACUUCUUCAUUCAGGAAUCUCUGAAGCUCCAUGGUAUGUAUUCCCUAUGUUCUUCUUUAAAUUCGGUUCCAUUUUAAAAUUAGAACUUACAUGGCACUAAGAAUAAUACCGAUAUCUAAGUAGACUGUCUCUCAAGGGUUACAUGACACAUGUAACAAGUAUGUUCAAUUUCAAUGCAGUUUGUAGACUUCGUUAAAGAGAGCAACAUUAUCCCACAAACAGCAUCCAAAACAUUCAAAAAAAUUUUAUAGACCAACAGUGAGGGCCUUGAUAAUGAAGAAAUUUGGUCAGUUUUUUCUCUACAUUGACUUAUGAAAUUUCUUUAAUUGAGUUUUAUGAAAUUCAUCUCAGAAAUUUAGUAAAUAAAAAUCACAGGUUGCAAAUGGUAUUUGUGUAGAUAUGUAAAAGAUCUACAGGAAGACCCUUUGAAUUUUGGGAAUGUGAGCCUAUUUCUACUACUCAAGUGGUACAGAUCCUGAGUGUCACUUAUUAAGUUAUUACUGCAAAACCACAGACUUCUCAUGUCACCAGUUGGACCUCCCUUUGCUUCUUGUCACUGCUUUUACUGUGCUGCCAGAACAAAUACAUUCAUUGAGUGGUAAGUUAUAAUUUUCCAGAUUUAUGCAGUGUUGGAAUAUUCCCCAUGGUAUCUUUCUGUGCACAUUUUGCAAUUCAGCUGCUUAAGGAAAAUUCUGGGAUUUGAAUUGCAAUUAUUUUUAAGUAACAAGUAAUUUAGUAUAAAAAUGGUCUGGUGAGUGUCACAGUUGUCUUUAUGGUCUUAAGUUUCAACUUCACACUGUGAAGACAGUAAGGUUUGUUCGUCAGCCAGAUCUUGAAGCUGAGAAUAGAAUUAAUUAACUGAGAUUGGCAGUAUAUGCUUUCCCUAUGUCAGGACAAAACUUUACCAGUGUUUUGAAAACAACCUUCCAGUUGUUUUUAUAUUAUUCUGACACUUUCUGGGAGUAGUUUUCAUAAACUGUUUUUACAAAUCACUGACAAAUAGGAUCGUAGAAUCAUAGAACAGUUUGGGUUGGAAGGAACUUUAAAGACCAUGGAGCUCCAACCGCCUGCUGUGGGCAGGGCUGCCAAUCAUCAGAUCAGACUGCCUGGGGUCCCAUCCAACCUGGCCUCAAAUAACUCCACAUAUGCCUAAUAUUGAACAAAAUGAAUAUAAAUAGUUCAAGAUUCAAGGAACUUAGGAUAUAUAAAGGCACCUAUAUAAUGCAGUUCAGUGCACAUUGAAUGUUCCAAGUAUGAUCAGUGUAAGACCUUGUCUUUCCAUUUUCACAUUCAUAUUUUCAGGUUAGCACGAAGAAAGUUACUGUUCUUUAAUACAAAUGAGAUGAUCAAAAUUAUAUUUAUCUAUCUGAAAGAUUUUGAAGAUUUAAUACCUCUGUUAGUCCAUCUGCAGAGCCAACAGAAAUCCCAAGGUGGCCAUCUGGACAGAUUUCACUUCUAACAUUCAGCCACCAUUACUGUCUCUUCUCUUAGAAAUAUGUAAUUUGUGGGAAGCAGACAGAAGCAGUGUUAAGACAGCUGCCUGAAGUCUAGCUUUCUGGUCAGGUAAGUGUGCUGCAGAAACUAGAGAUCCGCAUGGCCGAGGAAACUGUAUGGAGUGGUUAAAAAUAGCUGAUGCACUGAACUAGUCAGUUUUCAUAUUGGGCUCAUAUAGGGCAGAGACUGUUAAUGAUUGUUGAAGCGUGUAUUCAUAGGAAGUUGACCAUGUGGAAACCUGGCCCAAAUCACCUCAGUCCCCAGUACAUACAUAGAAAUUACCUAGAACCUUGUAAAUAAGGAAUACUCAUAAAUGUUUUUCUUCUUUUAAAAAUGACUUAAUGGUUACAGUUUUCCAUUCAGAAUACCUUUAACUGUUUAAUGAAGCAUCGUGUACAGUAUGAACUACAUAAUAAUUAUAGGUUUUGGAGCUGUUUGUAAGUGAUAGCUUACAAUAAAAAAUGUCUGACUUAAGAAAACAGUCUUGCUCACAGAAUAGUAAUUUUAGCAUAAAAGUUUAUGAUUUUUUAUAGCUUUAUAACAUUUGAUGAUGCUAUAAAGCCCUCACAGUCUUUACUGUUUAAAAUGAUUUGAUAGCACACAUACGUUGUGUGAAUGCUGCAUUCUUCAUCAAAUUUUAUUUUUGCUUCCCGUUCUGUUAAAAAAUAAAAAUGUAGCAUGCAAAUACAGAGAUGAUUAUUUCCUACUUCAGUGUUUUAAACAUUUGACGUAGAGUGGAUGGUUAAAAAAUGAAAAAAUGUUUGUAGUUCUUAAAAAUUUUCAUUAUAUAUGCAUGGAAAAAAUUAGAAAAAUGUAAGAUAAAUAGAAUGAGCAAUAUUCUGUGAGUUUUUGUUUUUGUGCUUUUGUUGUUGCUGCUUUUUUUUUUUUUUCCUAGAAGUGAAAUGAAUAUUGAUGAAAGAAAGGAAAAUAAAGGUUUUUGAAGAUUCAUGGAAAAAGAAUGCAUUUCCCAGAAUCAUCAGUCUCCAGGGUGACUGUACUCUUACAGCCAUGCUUGUGAAGAGAGGAGGUCCUUAAGCACUGCCCACCUCCUGUCUGUGCUUUGACAGCUGCCCUAAUGCAAUCAGGAGCCAGCAGAUCCACUGCAGAGGGAAUGUGUAAUGCAAUGAUCAUCAGGAACAGACUUAUCAGGGGUCAGAUCAAAGAUCCACAUGGCCGAGUAUCCUGUCUCUGAUCAGAUUCAAUGGCAAAUUCCUAAGGAAAAGCAAAACAGAAAUCAAGAAGUACAAAUGAAACACAUCUGUAUGAUUGCUGUUUUCCCAGAGAAGAGCUGAAAUGCAAACAAGAAGUCUCUGCUUUCCUUUUUUCAUCCAAGAUGGCACUAUGGAUAAUUUGUAAUUUAGAAGAUUUAGAACAUUUCACCUACUAAGUAUGAUAAAUACAAGCAACCAACAGAGGAAAAGUUACAUUUUAUUUCUUAUGGCAGAUUGUUGUAUUAUGCUUUGCUGAAAUAUAUACAAUUAAAUUGUCCAUCAACUAUUUUAUCAGCAACUCAUUAGAAGAAACUGUACAUUUAAAAUAGAGUAAUAAUGAACUUAGAUACAUUUUUUCAGCACAGCUGAGAGACUGCUUUCCAGUGCUGCCAUAUAAGGUAAUCAGGAAACACUGGACCCUGGUUCUGCUUAUUCAAGUGUAACCAAGAUUUGGAGUUUCCAAGUCCACUUUAAAAACCUUUAACUACUUAAAGCAUUGGAAUAAAGCUGACCACAAAGAUGGAAAAGAGAUGGAAGAGUGAGAAGAAGGAAAAAGAAGUUUUGAAGCAGAGACCAGAAAAAGAAAGACUGCGAAUGAUUUUGAAGCUCAUACAAGAUGUAGAAUGCCAAUCUCUUCUCUGUGUUCUAGAGGAGCUUUAAACAGCAAGCAAUAGAGUUGGCCAACUGAAGCACAUUAUUCAGCUGUGUUCUCUUUGGAGAUAACUGGUAAUUCUGAAAGGGAGAUGAGGGAGGAAGAAAGAAAGAAAGCUAUAACUUCUUGGUUUGUAAAUCUGCUGGUGAUAUAGUGAACUUAGAUUAAUUUCACAGCUCAAUCUUGAUAGUUAAAGUUGUGUUUUGUGUUUGAUCAUCCUAGGCCUGAGAACAUCCCUGUUAACCUUGUUGCAGCUCUCAACAAUGUAAAAAAAACUUCCUACCAAAUUAUAUUUUUAAUACACCUUAUGAUUUGGUAUAGAUAUGAAGGUAGAUGAAGAGGACAUAAAGAGAUACGUAGAAAAAGACCCAUAGUCCUUAAAAGGAGUUUUGCUCACUUCUGUAAAGGGACUGCAACAGUCCUUGUAGUAUUUUUUUUUGCAGGUGCUAUAAGAAUUACUCUGAAUGGCAGAAGAUGAACUUUGGCAGAAAAUACAGCGGAAACUUCAGCAGCUUAGGCAUGGUUAUAUACAGGUCUCAAUUGCUUUUAACUGAAGUCUUGUUUUGUUGUCUACAAAGGUUGUCUUGCUUUCAGAAAAGUAUGAGCUAUGUUUCAAUGAGACAGAAUUCUGAAAAAAAAAAAAAAAGUUUGAUGUUAUUUACAUUCACUGUAACUAAUCUGAAUCACUGAUUCUGGUUGGGACUGACAUCCCUGUCUAAGUCCCAAACCUAGUAUGAUUUUGUAUGUAGAGCCAGUUUAAAGUCACAGGCUCAGCUAGGUCUAGCUAGAACUGAUGAAGGAUAGAAGAUACAGAUUAAACAUUUUUCUCUAUUGUGAGACUAUAAAUAAAAAAUUGAAUGUGACCUUAUAACCAAAUGAUUUAUUCAUUGCUAUAUUAUUGAUAUCAAUGUGAAAUGUGUUGCUUUGCUGAGAAAGGGAAGGAUUUUGUGAGGAUACUGAAUGGUUGUUUUUUUUUUAGUGUCCUUAAAGUACAAACUGAUGGGGUCUGCUUCCUCUGUAGAAAUGGUAGUUUUCACUCAAAAGAAUAAAUGCUGUCACUUUAUGCUUCACAACUCUAGAAUGUUUCAGUUGUAGUGAAAACCCAGGAGUUUCUUGGCUUUUUGCUUUUAGUGGAGGACACAUUACUCUGUGAGAGACUUUACUUGGACAAAAUAACAUAGAAAAUGUUAACUUAGAAAAUAGACCAAAUAAUCUGCCACAGCUGUAGUUGUUUUUGUUUUGUUUUGUUUUUUACAAAUCAGCAAUGAACAAUUUGAUCUAAUUCAGAAAUAAUCAAAGGCUGCAUAAAUAUUUGGCUGCUACAAGUUUAAAAUAGUACCACGAUAAAAUUUCACGUACACAUGUCUUCUAAGAACAUAUUUCUUGUAAAUUUCACUGCACUGAAUAAUAACUUGAAUUAUUUUUAUCAGUACAAAAGUAAGUCUCCCUACACUACUCUAUUUUUUAUUAACAAUCACUUUUUAAUCUGUAUAUACUAUAUACAGCUAGUAGCUCUUUCAUUUUUGUACUUUCAAUCUGCUUCACAGGGUAUUAAUUAUGCACAAGUUGGCUACAUCUCUUCUGUCAUACCGAACAGCCACAUCUGCAUUUAAUCAUUCAUUAUAUGCUGUAAUCUACCACCUAACUUCCAGUCACUUUUACUAUCUAAAAGCAAGUAGGAGGUACUUAAGAAUCUAUCCCUGAAUAUCUAAUUGCAUACUUAACUGAUUAGUUUUAUAUGACAGUCUCUUAUAAACAUGCUAAUAAGUUGAAGACUCUUAAUUUGUAUCUACAUGCUACUGAUUUCUGUAUGAUUAUACAUAAUGAACUCAUCAUGAUCACACUUAGUGCUGCUCUUCUGAGAAUCAUGAAAAUAAAUGCAGAGUUUGGAGAGAAGGAUGUAGACAAAGGCAGAAAUGAUCAGUAAUAUGUUGCUUUGUAAGAGAUUUGAUGAGAAACUUCAUUCAGGUUUGCUUUGAGAAAUGGCUUAUUCCAAAUAGUUCAAGAGGAAAUAAAAGGACCAUGAAAACCUGGACAAUGAGGUAAACAAAAGUGAAAAGAAUUCACACAGAUGCUGUUUUACACCUAGCUCAACUAAUAACACCCAUCAUGCUCAGAGAUACAGGAAAAAGUGAAUCCAUGCCAAAUAAACCACCUCAGGUGUCAGUACUGGUGACUUCUAGUUACUUCCAAGCAUCUCAGUUAUUCACAGAACAGAGGCAAUGGGAGAGGUCCAAAGGAACUCUGUAUUGCCAUGUCACUGCUUUUCUGAGUAUUUCAAUACCUCCAUUAAAGUAAUGCCAUUACUAUGACCAAUUCACAAGCUUGAUUGAAAUUUCUUUAACAAUGUACAAUGUUGCAGACAGGAUGAGGUUAUCCAUUCCACCUCUGCUUUUUCUAGGGCAAUAGCUGAGAAAGGGAGUUUUAAAGGUAAACAGAAAUCUGAGGUAAUUCCUAAAGAAAAUGAACACUUACUAACUUUAAAGUAGUUAUUGUUAUACAAAGUGAGUUUUUGGGGUUAGCACAAAAGAAGAACAGCAUUUAAGGUCAAUAAAGGUGCAAUACUUUCCAUUGUUCACUGCAUUUCUACAUAAGUCUUAGAAACAGCACAAUCUGUAGCUCUCUUAUACAUAUAGGUAGCCUCUGGAGCUAUAUCACGGUUGUCCGUGAUUUUUCACUUGUUAUUAAAGGGCAUGAAUUCUUCCAAAGGGCAAGGCUAGUGCAUUUACUCAGACACCUACGCAAAUUGUCCCAGGAUCCUAAUUUGAUGUACCUCAGUGGAAAGUGAUUAGGGUCAGAGGACUUAAGCUGUAUUCUAACACAUAUUAGAUUUAAAUAAUCCUGUCUCAUCUCUUCUGGCUCCUAACCAGUUUAUUUUAACACUAAGUGAGUUUGUUUGUAAAGUCUAAAUGAAUUUUAACAGCUUCUAGUGACAUUUUACUAGAAAACAGAAAAACUGUAGCAAUUCAGGUUCCAAAGUGUAUCAGCGUUCAAUUUUUGAGGGUUUCUCAGUAGACUGAACUUUCCAGAGAUCCUUAUCAUUCAUAUAAAAUAGAUUGGGAUAAUAUCCUCAGAGUUAAUCUAUUUAAAAUGAAUAGUGAUCUUAGAUCCUUUCGGCAUUGGAUUUGUUAAGAAGAAAGUGAUAUUACUGCAGAGUUAGUCCCACUUCCAAGGCCAUGCAAUGGCUUUUCUCAAGCAAUUAAGAAGCUGUACAACUUCUACCUUUAAGAUAACUGUGGAAGAUAUAAUCUUUUAAGAUUAGACUACUCUACUGAUAGAAUUUAUCUUCUUUUCUCUCAUUAAAUAUUUUAAGAUUCUAAUUAACAGACCCUAUUCAAGAAUUUCUGAGAUGAAUGAAGGCAUAUUCAUAUUUUCUGAGAGCACUUUAUUCAGUCUUAUUUUAAAAGCCUAAAUUACAUAUAAGGUAUAUAUGUGUUUUUAAAUACAUUAGUCAGAAGGAAAUGAGUAAUAAUGCUGCACUGUAUUGUGCUGAUCUGUCCAGGCAUAGAAGAGGAUAAGUUGCUAUAUUUAUUGAUGCAAAACUUGUGGAUAACCUUGGUAAACCUUGCAUUUCCUCUGCAAUAGCUACAAAUGGUGGUUAAUGUUAAGCGAGAAAUUUGCAGAAAGCUUAUUAAAAACACAGCCUGUUUCUGCAGACUUUGUUUCGCUUUGACAUUUUAACCACAGUUUACCAGGAUGUGUCAAAACUUCUUGACUAGUCAUAGCAAUCUCCUCAGAAAAUAUGAGGAAAAGGUUUCUGUGCUCUUUCUUUCUUUCCUCCUUCUUUCUCUAUCCAUAAAUAUUUCAUAGAAUCAUACAGUUUUUUGAGUUGGAAGGGACCCUUAAAAGUCAACGAGUCCAACUCCCCUGUAAUUAAUAGGGACAUCCACAGCUAGAUCAGAUUUCUUAGAGUUUGUUCCAGCCUGAUCUUAAAUGUUUCUAGGGACUGGGAGUCCACCACCUCUCUGGGCAACCUGUUCCAAUGCUUCACUGCUGUUAUCAUUAAAAAAAACUUUGUUCUUAUACCCAAUCUAAAUCUCCUCUCUUUUAGUUUGAAACUAUUUCCCCUUGUCCUAUUAGAAAAGACCCUACUAAAGAGUCUGUCUCCUUCCUUCUCAUAGCUCCUUUUAAACACUGAAAGGUCACUAUCACGUUUCCCUGGAGCCUUCUGUUCUCCAAACUGGACAGUCCCAGCUCUCUCAGCCUGUCCUCUUAAGGGAGUUGUUCCACCCCUUGGAUCUUUUUUAUGGCCCUCCUCUGGAUGCUUUCUGACAGAUCCACACCUCUCCUGUACUGAGGACUUCACAUCUGUCAUUGCUGCAGAGACCAGCUUUAGAGCAGGUAAGACUGCACUGAGUAAGGGACCUAAAGCAAAAAGGCCGACCAAAAAGCUCUUUUUAGGGCUUUUUUGAAGCUAGAAAAAGCACUGUACCAGUGCCAGGGGGCUGGCAUCUUGUGGGUGGGCUGCUGAGCCAGCAGGGGCAGAGCUGUCACUGCCCACUCUUAUCUCGUGAGUUCGACCUUGACCCUUUGCUGUGUGGCUAAAAUCAGCCUUCUGGAUGGCAGAAACAAGCUUCCACCCACUUAACACACCAGGUGAGAAAAGGGCGUUACCUUCCACUGACAAGAGGAAGGGAAGUCAGUGUGUGAGCACAGCCCACACUACCCAUAGAGUACUGCAGCAGCGGGUGUGAGUGGUGGGUCUUGUGGCAGGACACGUGAGUGUUUUUUGUCUUUGCUCAGACCGGGUCUCCUAUGGACAGACCCUGAGACCACCAGUUCAAACAUGGUCUCUACCAGGCAGCAGGCUUGCCCCAUGAAAACUGUGGAGACCCAGGCAGAGGGCCUGCCCAGAAAUGCUGCCGUUCAGGUCUCUGGCUGCAGGGAGUGCCUGAGCCUGCUGCUGCCAAGGGAGGAUGGGAAGGAUCCCACCUGCGUGAGGUGCGAGCAGGUAGACAAGCUGCUCAGCCUGGUGGUGGAGCUCAGGGAGGAGGUGGAGAGAUUAAGAACUAUCAGAGAGUGCGACCUUCUAGAGGCUUGGGGCAGAGUGGCUGGAAGACUGUGUAGAGAUGGACCUGAGGAUAUUGAUUGAUGCUCAACUGAACAUGAGCCAGCAGUGUGCCCAGGUGGCCAAGAAGGCCAAUGGCAUCCUGGCUUGUAUCAGAAAUAGUGUUGCCAGCAGGAACAGGGAAGUAAUUAUCCCCCUGUACUCAGCACUGGUGAGGCUGCACCUUGAGUACUGUGUACAGUUUUGGGCCCCUCACUGUAAGAAAGACAUCGAAGCCCUGGAUCGUGUCCAGAGGAGGGCAACAAAGCUGGUGAGGGGUCUGGAGCACAGGCCUUACGAGGAGUGGCUGAAGGAGCUGGGAUUGUUCAGUCUAGAGAAGAGGAGGCUCGGGAGAGACUGAAUUGAGAACGAUUCUAUGAUUCUGUAUUCCUCUUUUCCCAAAAGACUUAAUUCAAUACUCUUCCUAAACUGGUCAUUUGUUGGAAGCAUCUAACUUUACCACUAUAUAAAAUACAUAAACCAUUUUUCAUUACAUAAACUAUUAUCUUAACAGAUCAGGAUAAGAAAUGAAAAGUUGUUUUCUUGUGACACCAGCAAGGACAUCUAUGUAGGGGAAAAAAGGGAAUGUAUUAAGAAAGUAAACAACUGAUCACAGACAUCUCGGAGAAUGUGUGGAUCUUUUACACUGAGUUAUAAUAUCAAACUGCACUAGGGCAACAAGGAAUUCAAAAGGUUAUGCUUCUUUGCAUCUGUAAAUACAUGGAUGUUUGGAAAAUAUGUUUAAUGUUUUUAAAAAAUGAUUCAGCAAAGAAAAAGAGCAGUGCAGUGAGAUAAAAAGAUGAUUUAUCCUGUGGCCAGUGUGCUUCAAAUUGACCAGAGAAAGUAAUCUAAUCAGACUUUAUUAAACUGAUUCUGCAGUACAUCCCCAGUGCCUGGAAGCAUUGUCUGAGCUGGUCUGCAGUCUAAUCCUACUUUAGGAGGUUUGCCAACUAUUUAGCCUUUUCUAAGUAGAAAUAGAGCCACAAAAAUUUAAUUACUGCUAUUUUAAUAAGGAAAAUGUAAAACGUUGAUGAUGUCUGACAUAUGAAAGAAGCUGCAUUAGUGACAACAGUAUUUAAAAAACUCUGAUCAAGCACAACCUUUUUAUUUUGAGCAAGAUAUAGCAGAUAAUGUAGGCUCAAAAACCAGCCUAAAGAGCUGCUGCCAGGUUAUAUAAUCUCUGAGCACUCAUCCAAGGCAGUCCUGAAGCCAAACACAGAGAGGAGAAUUGCUAAGGGGUUGUGUUUGCUUCAACAGUUUCCCCCACUGCAUGACAAUCUCUGCCCCAUAAGCUGGCAGUGUUGAUGGUGGCUGUUUCAGAUUUCUAUAGAAAAAUAAGCUCAAUUCAUGUAAAAUAAUGUUUCCCACAGAUGACCUAAAAAGCAUGCCCAGAAAAUAAGUGCAGACUGUUGUCAGUCCUUGCUGGCAUUUGCAGAUGUCUAAGUUUCCUUCCAUCAUCCUUUGUAUGCUAGGUUAAAUCCUAGAAAGUUGCCAUGUCUCCUGGUAAAAAGAUUGCAUGGAGAAAUUCCUCUUCAAUCACACUACAAUGAACAAAGUUCCCAUGUUACAUUAUGGCAAUAAGUCACUACUUUUCAUGCACAUCUGUCAAUUUCAGGAGGUAUUGCAUUCCCUUGGGUGCAAUCCCCUUCAGUGUUUCACUGAAGAUAGGGUUACUGCUCUGUGUGGUUUCCUUUCACACAAGAGUAAUAUAGCACUUUUUCACUGAAAAAGGUCAGAAAAUUGCAACUUGUUGAUUACACUGUUCAAGAAGUUGCUCUCUCUUUUGCAUUUUGCCUGCAGCACUGCUACUGCACAAUAUUCCACUUUGAGUCUUGGGUCUACUUGUGAUUCUGUUUGUUUCUCCUGGACAAGCAGCACUACUUGUGUAAUCCUCUGAUGCAUAUUGAUGCCUUAAGUUGCUAACUCUGGCUUCUCUCCUUCUGCAUACUUCUAUUUCUUCAUGAACUUGUCCUUCAAGGCACAUGUCAGUAUUUGUUGUGGAAUGGACAAUGGCUGCCAGUACUCAAGUACUGUCUUUCCUUUUUGCCUCAACCAGGGUGGGCUUGCAUUUAUAGCCCAGUAGGCCAACUGUAUCCUAGGCUACAUCAAGAGAGGGGUGGCCAGCAAGGCAUGGGAGGUGAUUGUUGUCCUCUACUCUGCCCUCAUGAGGCCCCAUCUGGAGUACAGAAUCCAGAUCUGGGGCCCCCAGCACAAGUGGAGCAAUUGGAGGGGGUCCGGAGGAAGUCCAUGAAGAUGAUUAGAAGGCUGGAGCAUCUCUCCAAUGAAGAAGGAGGUGUUCAAGGCCAGGUUGGAUGGAUCCUGAGCAAUCUAAUCCAGUGCUUGAUUUAGAGGUUGGCAACAUUGCCCCAUGGCAAGAAGAUUGGAACUAGACGAUCCUUAAGGUCCCUUCUAACUCAAGCCAUUCUGUGAUUCUGUGUUUCAAUGAUUCUAUGAUAGAUGUAUGUGGAAACAGGGAAGUCUUGAGUUUUAAGGGUACAAAUGAUUUAGAUUUCCAUGGAAGGAAUUUUGCCUUCCAGAGUUCAUUCUGGGAUUUAAUUCUGUUUUAAAAUCAUUUGACCAAUGCUAGCGUGCUUCCAUAAUACUCACUGAUGGGUAUUGUUUCACUUAUAUGCAUUUUACUUCAGGGAACAUUGUGAAAAUAUUUCACUUCUUAUGUCUGCAAAAAUAUGGAUUAGAAUUGCUCAAUCCAAAAAAAAGAACAAGCAAAUAAUGUCAAGUUCACAAAAUUAAAGGCAAUUAUAGACUAUUUUAUAUACAUUUAAAAAAUAAAGCAAUAAAUGGCCAGUUUUGAACAUUCUCAGUGAUCACUAGAGAUUAGCUGUUAUGUUUUAUAUUCUCUGUUAUCUUUCAAGCAGAAAACCAAAUUUCUAGCCUGUUUCUUUAAAAUUCCUAGGUUUUGUAUGUGUGGUGCUCAUUCAAUUAUUUUAUAUAUUUAUUUUGCUUGUUUGAUGGCUUUGCAUUUGGAAGGCUGCCUGAGGAGAGAUGCCUGAAGGAAAAGAGGAAAUCCAGACAACUAUAAAAAUAUCCUACAUGUUUUCACAGCAAAAAAUGCAUGGGCACAAUGGCAGAUCUCUCCCAUGUUAACGCUGCAGCUGCAUAUAACAGAGGAGACUGCAUCACUAUCACCCUGGUGUGACAUUUUUGUGAGAUGCAGUUAGUACAAUGCUGUGACAUUUACAGUGUUGUGCACUGCAUUUAGUGGCAGAUCUGCUAACAACAGCAGAUCUAUUCCUGGCCACAUAGAGUGGAAUGCUGCCUACUCACUCUCUCCUCUCUGCAUUGGUUUCCUGCCCUAAUGUACGUUACAUUUAGAACUUUGAUGUUAACUGAAGGCCAGCCAAAAAAGGACUUGGAAUCUGAAUGCUUUCAUAUUUCUGGAUAUGGGGUGGUUUUGAAUUUCCAGAUUAGUAGUAACUCAUCUGAUGUUAGUGUUGAGUUGUUUCCAGAACCAUAUGGGACCUAAUUUCUAAUGCAGCCAAGAACUUAAAGCCAAUCUGAAGAAACGUGGGACAAGCUGACAAAAAAAAAAGUAUCACAGGCAGAAUAACAGUGAAAGAUUUACAUCAGUUUCCCCCUCAUAAACUUUAGUCAUUUGCCUUGAAGUUACUCAGAAGUUACACCGAUGUCUAUUAUUUUCUUAUUCAGUGGUACAAAUGUUCAUACUCAUCUCAUCUGUGUAAAUAUACAUCCGUGUAAAUAUGAAAGUGAUUAGAUCAAAGAAAACUCUCUUUUUCAUUUUCCUGAAGUAACUAAUUUUAUCAGCUAAGCAUUAAGUGUACUUUUUAAAAUGAUCGUUCAUGCUUUCGCUGAUAAACAGGAGAUAACUAACUGCAUGUCCCAGGCAACUACUUUAUUGAAGUGAGAUGAAUGAUCUUCUGAAGGCUCCCUUCUUCAUGAGCUGCAGUGAUCCUAGACAGUUAUUCUAGACAUUUGGUGUUUAGACAUCUCAGUGUUUUCACACAACUCUGUGUUCCUACCCUUUGUGUAACUUUUAUAUGCAAAAACCAUUGAGCAAUGUAAAAUAUGACCCCCAUUUUAGAACAAUCCCAAGAGAAUUUUUUUUUUAAAUAAAUUUCAUCUACCUGGAAAUGUUAGGACAAAAGUAAGAUUUUCAUGGUUUUCCAUUACUCCCUGUAAAAGCAGAGAAAAAAAGUCUGUUAGAUCUACGAAUAAAAGGAAAUUGGCUGAAAAGAGCUAAUUCAUAAUGAAACUAACUUGUCAGACUAUUUUCAUAGCACUAUCUGUACAAAGAUUAAAAAAAAAAAACACCUCUCAUAAAAUAUUAAUGCUUUAACCUUUAAGUUAUUAGCCCUUAUAAAUUUAAACUACUGCUUACAUUGUAGAGAUGGAAAAGUUUAAGCUAACAGGAAGAGAUGAAAACAGGGCUUUAUCUUCUCUCUCCUAUGGCUGGGUUUUUAAUAUGUUAUCAUUCUUCUCUCUCUCUAAAUCAGUAAAUUAAGUGAUGUUAAUCAUCUCAAAAGCAGAUACACUUCUAGUACAUGUGUAACACACACUAAAGACACAUUUGAGCCUCCCUCACAAGAGAAAGGAUUGAUCAAAUAUAGCUCUUCAGUGCGAGGAGGCACUGGGACAUCAUUUUUUCCCAGUACCUUUCCCAAAACAGUAGCAUAAAAAACAUCUCUAAAAUGCCUGUAGUAGAAAUCAGUAUAGCCAGUAGGAUCUCAACACAACAGAUGAAACUGAAGUGCAUAAAUAGUGAAUUGCACUGCAGCCAGCUUUUUAGUUUGUGGGAGCUUCAAUUACCACAUUCUCCCCUUUACAAGGCAUGAGGAUGCAACACAUUUGUGGCAGGGUAAUGUGAGCACUCCCUGCAUCCACAUCACAGGCUGAACCCAUCACCACUCACAAAGAGCACAUGCAGCUGGGGUAAAUUCAGCCUGGACAUUUCAGUCGUCUUUGGCACCGAGGAAUGGGAAUUUUUUAAUGUAUGUUAUUCUUCUGAGGAAUGUAAAAUAUUUUCACUUGGGACUUUUAAAUCCUCAAAUGUACACUCUGUGAACUGUUGACAUGAUGUUUUCAGGUCAAUAUUUCAACCAGAUUCCAAGAAUCCAAGAAUCAGCAGCUGCUAUUGUAAUUUUCCUAUGGGCUUCUAUUAAGUUGUUUCAAAAUUUGUGUUAAAAAUCAUGCUGGGAUAGAUCUGGAAAGGUGAAACAAGCAAGCAAAAAACUUUUGAAAAUUAUAUUUGCUCUGCAAAAAUGAUUACCCAUUUGCACAUUAAUAUGCACUAUUUUGUAUGUAUGUGUAAGAGAUUAUUCUUUUAUAUCAUUGACUCAAAGUUUGCUGAGGAACAAGUCCAGGCAAGUCCUGGGCAAAGGCAGAGAAAUCUUUUGUCUUGAGGACACUGAUGGACAGGUCCUGGCUAAGGAUUGUGAAAUCCUCUAAGGAGCACAGAUGGACAAGGCCAGGGGCAUCGAGAGAGAGAUAAGCUGCUGCUAAUGGCCGGGAAACGGUCUUUUUGUGUGGACUUAUCUCAAGGAAAAUGGCCAUCUCAGGAGGUAUGCACAGGACUCUUGCUCAAGCACCCAGGAAUGUCACGUAGGCAGCAGAAAAUGGAGGAUAAAAGAGGGUCCAACAACCACGGCUAGGUGGAGGCUGAUCUCUCACCACGACACGAGCUUUCUGCCUUCAGAUCCUUCUCUACGGACCGUUUGCUGACGGACUUCCCUGGGCCUGCUACCUGAGACCUGCUGCUUCCUCCCUGACCUGCACUCUCUCGUUGCCCAAGACCGGCCUCGCUGCUCCUGCCCUUCGGCGUCGGAACCUCGUGCUACGGGACUGCUGCCGGAUCCUGGUGGUUACUAUCCCCGCUUUACGCAAUUCUUGCCUCUUUCUAUCUUUUCUAUCGCUCGCCUUCCCUUCCCCAUCACCCCAAUCCUUAAUGAUGUCCGUCCUCCCCUUUCCCCAUCUCCCUUAUUAACAUUUGUAAUAAACUGGUCGGACCAACAUUUGAACCGUUGUUUCUUAAUCUCACGCCAGGCAUACAUAUUUCAAAGAACCUCCUCUCCCUCCUAUAAAUUGGAGUGAGACAGUAUGUAAGCAAGUGCUUAUAUUUAAAAUCAAUUAAAAAAUCUCCCCUAAGAAAUCAUGUCAUGUUACACACAAUUAUAUGCACAACAAUGCAUUGCACAGGGGCCUUGUAUCGCUGUUUCUUUGGCAAAGCAGUUGACUAGUACUGCAACCGCAAUAACCACUCUUUCAAGGUUGUGGAAAACUCUGGAUUUCACUGCAACUCUUUCCUCCCUGAAUAUUCAGAUUUCUCUUUAAAGUUAAGGAGGACGUAUGAGGGCAUGAUGUGCAUACAGGUAACAUUCUGAUAUAAAGGCUUUUUUUCAUACAGCUGAGAUGCAGGCAGUGGUUUGGCUGUGAACACAUUGAAGAGGAGAACUUAUUUAAGAGUGAACUCAGGUCAUAUGUUUCUAAACAUUCUUCAGCAAACAUUAGGCAUCUUAACAGUGUAUGAUGGCCUUGUCUUCCUGCGUAGACUUGACUGAGUAAAGAAUGAUCCCUUAGAUAACAAGAAUUUACCUACAGGCUCUAUAGGAUUCCUAUAUUUAGCCAUAAACAACGGCAGUAACAGAACAUACUGUAUUUUCCUUCUGCUCCAGUUAGUGUUAAGUGUUACAAAAAUUAACUGAUACAGACUGUUAUAUUCUUUGCACCAAAAUCUUUGUGGAAAGUGACAUCGCCAUGUGCUUUGUAACUAGCGAGACAUUUUUUUCCCCCUGUACUUUGUUUCUAAAUAAAGCAACAACUAUUUUG